AUUGAACGCUGGCGGCAUGCUUUACACAUGCAAGUCGAACGGUAACAGGUUAAGCUGACGAGUGGCGAACGGGUGAGUAAUGCAUCGGAACGUGCCCGGUCGUGGGGGAUAACGCAGCGAAAGCUGCGCUAAUACCGCAUACGAUCUGAGGAUGAAAGCGGGGGACCGUAAGGCCUCGCGCGAUCGGAGCGGCCGAUGUCAGAUUAGGUAGUUGGUGGGGUAAAGGCUCACCAAGCCGACGAUCUGUAGCUGGUCUGAGAGGACGACCAGCCACACUGGGACUGAGACACGGCCCAGACUCCUACGGGAGGCAGCAGUGGGGAAUUUUGGACAAUAGGCGCAAGCCUGAUCCAGCAAUGCCGCGUGCAGGAAGAAGGCCUUCGGGUUGUAAACUGCUUUUGUACGGAGCGAAAAGGCUCUCUCUAAUACAGGGGGCUCAUGACGGUACCGUGAGAAUAAGCACCGGCUAACUACGUGCCAGCCGCCGCAGUAA
rnacentral:rRNA from 1 species